CUCUCCUGCUACGCGCUAAACACUUUGGAUUUUAAUAAGUUUGUGAGUAAAUAUUGCAGGCUAAGCAGCAUCUGCAGCUUUACUAAAGCUAGAAAGCUUAAGUUCGCUAAUUUAGCCGCUAAACUGACCGUGAGGAGGACCGCUGGUGACUUUCGUGACUCGCACACGGGAGCCGAAUUAUCGUCAGGGGUUGCCAGAUCGGAAUGAAACCCCUAGAUUGGAUUUGCUCUGACCCGUUUGGUUGAAACAGGCAUCUUAACACCGCCAGGAUUCGAUGCAGCACCCGGUACCUCCACGGCUUGUGAACCUGGCGCUUUGACUGCAUUUAGGCCCUGUUUAACAAGCAGUCCUGGGGGCCUGCCACAGUGUGGAGAGAGUCAAAGUGCUGAUGAUGAGUCAGCUUCCCGUGGAAAACGUCCAAGAACGUGUCUGAGUACAAAUAACAGCUCGAUUUCACACGGGAAACGUCUUCGGUUAGAUGAUCGUUACAAAUCUGUGGAUUUGCAUACCAGUGACCGAGCUGCAUGUGGUGGUGGUGUGGAGCAGACAGGAGCGGCUUCGGAGUUUGACGCUGUUGUCUGGACUGAAGCUUUUGAAUACGUGGGACCAGAACAGUUUCACAGAAAAGCCGGAUGAUGCUGUGGAUACUGGACUAAUUAAUACAGGACAAAUCCAAUAUCAGAAGUGAGAGACAUUGAUGGAGAGGUUUUAAAAGCAAAUCAGCUCAAAGCAGCUCUUACCUUUCUAGCGACAUUGGUGGGUCAGCAAUCUCAUGAAAUUACGAAAAAUACUAUUGAGCAGCGUAGACAAGGCGCUAUUGUGCGUAGAUUAAAUAAUAUUGUUCAGAAAUGAGCAGAAAAGAAUCAGGAAUUGGCAAAAGAAAAUCCUAUACUGUCUGAACAGGUAAAGCAUAUACAUGUGGUACAGGUUAUGCGCGAAGAACAAAACACAUUUUAAAUCUUUAACAGACGUAAUAUUUAAACUCAACAGGGUUUUACAGUUAAAAACUUCAACAAAAUUGUCUGUUUCAGGGUCAUCUAUGUAGUUAUUGGUUGGCAAUUUGAAAAUAUUUCCGUUCUUUACAUAUUCCUGUUUACCUGUUAAACAAACCACAUCAUCAGUACAUGAUAGAUUAUUGUUUUAAAUAAUAAUUAUUAGCAAAAAGAAGCAGACAAUAAAAAUAAUGGGGUCUAAAAGGUGUCGGGAGUCAGACAACACUCCAUGCGUUAGCGCAACAAAUGAUGUUUGGGCACAGAUGUCUAUUAGCGAUCAAUUGCAGUGUUUAAAUGACGAGUGAGUCGGCUACUAGUCUCAAUCUGCAAAACACUCAACACGACGUAAACGUUAAUGAUUAUACCGUACAUGAUGGUUUACAGAUGACAUUGAAUACAAUGCACAGCCCAACAACACGCCGUAGACGCUGUGAUAAUUAUGGACAUGCCAUAGAUUUUAUGUAUAAUACAGCCAUAACUGAUGCCUGGGAGCAGACAUCUAUUAGUGGACGCCUGAUAUGCUUAAAUGAUGAGCGAGUCAGCUCUAAAUUUCUUAGAAAACCUGGUAGAAAAUAACAUGCUACACUUAAACAGAGAACAGACAGGCACUGGUCUGCAGACACAGAUUUCCUACACUCAAUCCAGCAGCUCCUAACUUUGGUUUAUGUAGUGAUGACGUGUCACAGUUGGUGAGAGAUGGUGAAGUGGAUGUACUGUAGUACCGAGAAUUGGGUUCAAGUGUUGUGCUACACAGGACAUUGAAUUUACGUGAUGCCCCAUCCACAGAUAUGGCCUCAUACUGUCUAUGUACAUGUUAUCAGACAUUGUAUCGUUCUCCAGGGUGUUGGCUGGUGAUGGCAGCGUUAUCGACAUUACUCUAAGAGGUGGUAGUUUAACGUCUGAUGUAAAUGCUGUGUUGUUUUCAAGAGACGGUUACAACAUUGACAGGUUUGCAGAUGCAAUUGAAAGGGUUAUGCAGAGUAACAAGAACAUUCCAGCAGAUAAUAGUUUGGUGUUGAGUCUCCAUAGCUAUGAGUAAAAAUGGUGGUGUUCGUCGUAAAGUGCGUGAUAUUGCACACAAUCAGGUGAUUGAUGGGAACAGAAUGAACCUCUUUUGCCCUACAAAUAUUUCAGAUCUGUCUUGCUCAUUUUCUGAACCCACAUGCUGCACAACACGUUAGAAACUAUAGCCGAUCAGAUACAGGCAAAGGCUGGUUACACGCGCGAUCACAAGGUCGGGUUUGAUGACAUUUGGUCGUUUCGAAUACAAGUUUGGUGUCCUAGUCGUCUUCCACUAGAGCAGUUCAGGUGGUUUAGAGAAGUACCAAACAAGACAAACCACAUUCAAGGACUGUUUCUGUAUCUCCAUGACGGUCAUAUUACGUGAUAAAUUUGAAAGCGUUCGUGGGCGUGUCAUAUGUACAAGUUUUGUUAAAGGGUAUAGUAACGCGAGAGAUCCUAGUUGUAAAUAUCAUUGUGAUGUGUGUCAGGACACAGAUUGCAGUCAGAAACCCGACGUAUCAAGUAUUGUGAAGACUGUUAAUGCUACUGUAAAUCUGAUUAUUAUGAACAACACAAGAAAAACAGCUUAUUACUGGGGAGAUGGCGUCCUCAUGUGAUUUGACAAAAUACUGUAGAUCAUGCGGUCGACAUUAUCAUGUUAGUUUAACUAAACCAAAACCCCACAAGUGUGUCAGGAUGUUGUGUUCACUGCGGUGAAGAAUUAAUAUCAGAUACAACACAUGAAUGUUACAUACAGCCAAUCAAAUUAAAAGAACCAAGUGAAUCUUGCAUCUUCUUUGACUUUGAGACACGAUUUGAAAAUGGUAAGCAUGAAGCUAACUUUGUCUGCGCAAACACAUUUGACAGUAGAGUUCACAGCAGAGGGGUCAGACUGUGUAGAACGACUCCUCAGAGUUUAGAACCCCCAAAUAUCAGGGCUACACAUGGUUGGCGCAUAAUGUUGCCGGUUUUGACAAUUUCCUAUUACUGGAAUAUUAUCCAAAAGCGGGCAUUGCUGUCAAAAUCACCAUGAUGGGGUGUAGACUGAUCUCCAUGUAUGACGAAGCAUACAAACAGCACUACAUAGACUCGCACUCGUUCAUUCCAAUGCGUUUGGCUAAUACAGCAUCGGCGUUAAAUCUAACAUGUUCAGAGAAGAGACAUUUUCCCCACAAACUUAAUCUGACAGAAAAUGAGAACUGUGUGGGACCAGAUCCUGAGCAGAGUUUUUACGGCUAUGACUGAGUGACGAGGACAGAAAGCAGUUUGAGUGGUACACUGUAAAAAAUUUCCCUGGUAAAAAAACGGUAAAGAACUGGCAGCAGGGUUGCCAGGAACUUGCUGUUAAAUUAACGGUAUCAUACUGUAGUAAAAAUGUAGUUCAUUACCUUUCCUGACAGGUACAGCUACAGAUAUUUCCUGUAAUGUAAUGUUUUUACUGCUUGUCUUACCAAAACAACAAUUUGUCCUAUCAUAGUGAAGACAGGUAACAUGGCAUUUUCAAUCAUGUGACUUU